UACGAAGGGGGCUAGCGUUAUCCGGAAUCACUGGGCGUAAAGCGUACCGAUCGGCGGUUUGGUAAGUCUUUGGUGAAAGCCCCAAGCUUAACUUGGGAAUCGCCAAGGAAACUAUCAGACUAGAGGGGCAAAGAGGGAGACGGAACUUUGGGUGUAGCGGUGAAAUGCGUUGAUAUCCAAAGGAACACUCAUAGCGAAGGCAGUCUCCUGGGUGCCACCUGACGCUGCUAGGACGAAAGCGUGGGGAGCGAAUGGG
rnacentral:misc_RNA from 1 species